rnacentral:rRNA from 1 species
UUAAGUUAUUAAGGGCGCACGGUGGAUGCCUUGGCACUAGAAGCCGAUGAAGGACGUUACUAACGACGAUAUGCUUUGGGGAGCUGUAAGUAAGCUUUGAUCCAGAGAUUUCCGAAUGGGGAAACCCAGCAUGAGUUAUGUCAUGUUAUCGAUAUGUGAAUACAUAGCAUAUCAGAAGGCACACCCGGAGAACUGAAACAUCUUAGUACCCGGAGGAAGAGAAAGAAAAUUCGAUUCCCUUAGUAGCGGCGAGCGAAACGGGAAGAGCCCAAACCAAAAAGCUUGCUUGUUGGGGUUGUAGGACACUCUAUACGGAGUUACAAAGGACGACAUUAGACGAAUCAUCUGGAAAGAUGAAUCAAAGAAGGUAAUAAUCCUGUAGUCGAAAAUGUUGUCUCUCUUGAGUGGAUCCUGAGUACGACGGAGCACGUGAAAUUCCGUCGGAAUCUGGGAGGACCAUCUCCUAAGGCUAAAUACUCUCUAGUGACCGAUAGUGAACCAGUACCGUGAGGGAAAGGUGAAAAGCACCCCGGAAGGGGAGUGAAAUAGAACCUGAAACCGUGUGCUUACAAGUAGUCAGAGCCCGUUAAUGGGUGAUGGCGUGCCUUUUGUAGAAUGAACCGGCGAGUUACGAUUUGAUGCAAGGUUAAGCAGUAAAUGUGGAGCCGUAGCGAAAGCGAGUCUGAAUAGGGCGUUUAGUAUUUGGUCGUAGACCCGAAACCAGGUGAUCUACCCUUGGUCAGGUUGAAGUUCAGGUAACACUGAAUGGAGGACCGAACCGACUUACGUUGAAAAGUGAGCGGAUGAACUGAGGGUAGCGGAGAAAUUCCAAUCGAACCUGGAGAUAGCUGGUUCUCUCCAAAAUAGCUUUAGGGCUAGCCUCAAGUGAUGAUUAUUGGAGGUAGAGCACUGUUUGGACGAGGGGCCCCUCUCGGGUUACCGAAUUCAGACAAACUCCGAAUGCCAAUUAAUUUAACUUGGGAGUCAGAACAUGGGUGAUAAGGUCCGUGUUCGAAAGGGAAACAGCCCAGACCACCAGCUAAGGUCCCAAAAUAUAUGUUAAGUGGAAAAGGAUGUGGCGUUGCCCAGACAACUAGGAUGUUGGCUUAGAAGCAGCCAUCAUUUAAAGAGUGCGUAAUAGCUCACUAGUCGAGUGACACUGCGCCGAAAAUGUACCGGGGCUAAACAUAUUACCGAAGCUGUGGAUUGUCCUUUGGACAAUGGUAGGAGAGCGUUCUAAGGGCGUUGAAGCAUGAUCGUAAGGACAUGUGGAGCGCUUAGAAGUGAGAAUGCCGGUGUGAGUAGCGAAAGACGGGUGAGAAUCCCGUCCACCGAUUGACUAAGGUUUCCAGAGGAAGGCUCGUCCGCUCUGGGUUAGUCGGGUCCUAAGCUGAGGCCGACAGGCGUAGGCGAUGGAUAACAGGUUGAUAUUCCUGUACCACCUAUAAUCGUUUUAAUCGAUGGGGGGACGCAGUAGGAUAGGCGAAGCGUGCGAUUGGAUUGCACGUCUAAGCAGUAAGGCUGAGUAUUAGGCAAAUCCGGUACUCGUUAAGGCUGAGCUGUGAUGGGGAGAAGACAUUGAGUCUUCGAGUCGUUGAUUUCACACUGCCGAGAAAAGCCUCUAGAUAGAAAAUAGGUGCCCGUACCGCAAACCGACACAGGUAGUCAAGAUGAGAAUUCUAAGGUGAGCGAGCGAACUCUCGUUAAGGAACUCGGCAAAAUGACCCCGUAACUUCGGGAGAAGGGGUGCUCUUUAGGGUUAACGCCCAGAAGAGCCGCAGUGAAUAGGCCCAAGCGACUGUUUAUCAAAAACACAGGUCUCUGCUAAACCGUAAGGUGAUGUAUAGGGGCUGACGCCUGCCCGGUGCUGGAAGGUUAAGAGGAGUGGUUAGCUUCUGCGAAGCUACGAAUCGAAGCCCCAGUAAACGGCGGCCGUAACUAUAACGGUCCUAAGGUAGCGAAAUUCCUUGUCGGGUAAGUUCCGACCCGCACGAAAGGCGUAACGAUUUGGGCACUGUCUCAACGAGAGACUCGGUGAAAUCAUAGUACCUGUGAAGAUGCAGGUUACCCGCGACAGGACGGAAAGACCCCGUGGAGCUUUACUGUAGCCUGAUAUUGAAAUUCGGCACAGCUUGUACAGGAUAGGUAGGAGCCUUUGAAACGUGAGCGCUAGCUUACGUGGAGGCGCUGGUGGGAUACUACCCUAGCUGUGUUGGCUUUCUAACCCGCACCACUUAUCGUGGUGGGAGACAGUGUCAGGCGGGCAGUUUGACUGGGGCGGUCGCCUCCUAAAAGGUAACGGAGGCGCUCAAAGGUUCCCUCAGAAUGGUUGGAAAUCAUUCAUAGAGUGUAAAGGCAUAAGGGAGCUUGACUGCGAGACCUACAAGUCGAGCAGGGUCGAAAGACGGACUUAGUGAUCCGGUGGUUCCGCAUGGAAGGGCCAUCGCUCAACGGAUAAAAGCUACCCCGGGGAUAACAGGCUUAUCUCCCCCAAGAGUUCACAUCGACGGGGAGGUUUGGCACCUCGAUGUCGGCUCAUCGCAUCCUGGGGCUGUAGUCGGUCCCAAGGGUUGGGCUGUUCGCCCAUUAAAGCGGUACGCGAGCUGGGUUCAGAACGUCGUGAGACAGUUCGGUCCCUAUCCGUCGUGGGCGUAGGAAAUUUGAGAGGAGCUGUCCUUAGUACGAGAGGACCGGGAUGGACAUACCUCUGGUGUACCAGUUGUCGUGCCAACGGCAUAGCUGGGUAGCUAUGUGUGGACGGGAUAAGUGCUGAAAGCAUCUAAGCAUGAAGCCCCCCUCAAGAUGAGAUUUCCCAACUUCGGUUAUAAGAUCCCUCAAAGAUGAUGAGGUUAAUAGGUUCGAGGUGGAAGCAUGGUGACAUGUGGAGCUGACGAAUACUAAUCGAUCGAAGACUUAAUCAA